rnacentral:snoRNA from 1 species
UUGCACUUGUAUCAUAGGCCCCUCUAAUUCUGGUAGUGAGGCCUUGAGCUAGGUGCAUAAAGGAAAUGCUGUUAUAUCAGCAGCGGCCAGACAACCGUAGAGAUGGAUCCACAGUUGAAUGGCUCAAAAUGCCAUUUGACUACUGAUUUCAUCUCACAUUU